rnacentral:rRNA from 1 species
AUUGAACGCUGGCGGCAUGCUUUACACAUGCAAGUCGAACGGUAACAGGCCUUCGGGUGCUGGCGAGUGGCGAACGGGUGAGUAAUGCAUCGGAACGUACCCAGAGGUGGGGGAUAACGCAGCGAAAGCUGUGCUAAUACCGCAUGUGAUCUGAGGAUGAAAGCGGGGGACCGAGCAGCAAUGUUUGGCCUCGCGCCUUUGGAGCGGCCGAUGUCGGAUUAGCUAGUUGGUGGGGUAAAGGCCUACCAAGGCGACGAUCCGUAGCUGGUCUGAGAGGACGACCAGCCACACUGGGACUGAGACACGGCCCAGACUCCUACGGGAGGCAGCAGUGGGGAAUUUUGGACAAUGGGCGCAAGCCUGAUCCAGCAAUGCCGCGUGCGGGAAGAAGGCCUUCGGGUUGUAAACCGCUUUUGGCAGGAACGAAACGGUGUCCGCUAAUACCGGGCGAUAAUGACGGUACCUGCAGAAUAAGCACCGGCUAACUACGUG